GGGGGUGCACCGGUUUCGACGAUUGUGAUUAGGGCGUGUGCUGCAUGUCGGAGUCAAGGUUCCGUAAACUGAGAAAAAAAUAACUGCAAUUUUCGAAAGAAAAGAAGAAGAAGUCGAAGAGGCUUCUUUCGCAGAAGCUCUCGCAGCAUAAGUUGCUUGAGCCGGAAACAGGGUUGCGCUGUUCCUAGCGAUUUUGUUUUCCGUCAUAAACAGGGACUUGCUGUGCGUCGCGUUCAGUCGGCGUAUGGGACUUUUAACUGAAAUACGGAGGAGACGCUUGUCGUGCUGCUACCUUCUCCCGACAACCACCUCGCACGACUAAACAUGUAGGUGUGCAUGGCUUACACUUUCGGACGGGGGUUCAAUUCCCCCCACUUCCAAAA
rnacentral:tmRNA from 1 species